GACGAACGCUGGCGGCGUGCUUAACACAUGCAAGUCGAACGGUGAACCUGGAGCUUGCUCCGGGGGAUCAGUGGCGAACGGGUGAGUAACACGUGAGUAACCUGCCCCAGACUCUGGGAUAACUUCGGGAAACCGAGGCUAAUACCGGAUAUGCGACGAGAGGGCAUCCUCAUCGUCGGGAAAGAAUUUCGGUCUGGGAUGGACUCGCGGCCUAUCAGCUUGUUGGUGGGGUAAUGGCCUACCAAGGCGACGACGGGUAGCCGGCCUGGGAGGGCGACCGGCCACACUGGAACUGAGACACGGUCCAGACUCCUACGGGAGGCAGCAGUGGGGAAUAUUGCACAAUGGGCGCAAGCCUGAUGCAGCAACGCCGCGUGGGGGAUGAAGGCCUUCGGGUUGUAAACCCCUUUUCAAGCAGGGAAGAAGCGAAAGUGACGGUACCUGCAGAAGAAGCGUCGGCUAACUACGUGCCAGCAGCCGCGGUAAUACGUAGGACGCAAGCGUUGUCCGGAAUUUAUUGGGCGUAAAGAGCUCGUAGGCGGUUCGUCACGUCUGCUGUGAAAACCCGAGGCUCAACCUCGGGGCCUGCAGUGGGUACGGGCGGACUAGAGUGUGGUAGGGGAGACUGGAAUUCCUGGUGUAGCGGUGGAAUGCGCAGAUAUCAGGAGGAACACCAAUGGCGAAGGCAGG
rnacentral:rRNA from 1 species